rnacentral:lncRNA from 1 species
CCGCUAGAGUUUUGGUGGUGCUCUCAGGAUUACUCGACUUCGAGACUUGGGGUCAAAACUAAACACUGUGCUUUUGAUAACUAAGACAAUGAUUUGAGAGAGAAAGAGAGAGAGAGAGUCGUGAGCCGAAGUCGUUGGCUGUGACGACGAGCUGUGCUAACGUAGAACGGCGUGGAGGAACCUUCGAACUGAGAGGGAUGACUUGAUGGGAGAAGAUGUGGCUGUUAGUAUUUGUUUUGUUUUGCGAAAUUAGGAAUUUGGGGAUCGAAGUCGGGGGCUGCGAUAAUGAGACGUGGUGCGGCGUGGAGGAACCGCCGGCAAGAGGGAUGACCGGAUGAGAGAGGAUAUGGCUGUUAGAGUUUGAAUUUGGGGUUACGGAUCGGCUGAUCAGGUUUGGAGCUUUGUUUUAUGAAAUUGUUUUGUGAAUUUUUUUCCUUUUUUUUUAAGCUUUUAACCAGAUCGGUUUCCUAAUCCCUAAUUGAAUUUUGAAUUGGAAGAUAUAAUUCGUUGGGGUUCUAGGAUUCUUA